rnacentral:rRNA from 1 species
UACGAAGGGGGCUAGCGUUGCUCGGAAUUACUGGGCGUAAAGCGCACGUAGGCGGUCUUUUAAGUCGGGGGUGAAAUCCUGGAGCUCAACUCCAGAACUGCCUUCGAUACUGGAAGACUUGAGUCCGGGAGAGGUGAGUGGAACUGCGAGUGUAGAGGUGAAAUUCGUAGGUAUUCGCAAGAACACCAGUGGCGAAGGCGGCUCACUGGCCCGGUACUGACGCUGAGGUGCGAAAGCGUGGGGAGCAAACAGG